rnacentral:rRNA from 1 species
UGGGGAAUUUUGGACAAUGGGCGCAAGCCUGAUCCAGCCAUACCGCGUGAGUGAAGAAGGCCUUCGGGUUGUAAAGCUCUUUCAGACGGAAAGAAACGGUUACGGCUAAUACCCGUGACUAAUGACGGUACCGUAAGAAGAAGCACCGGCUAACUACGUGCCAGCAGCCGCGGUAAUACGUAGGGUGCGAGCGUUAAUCGGAAUUACUGGGCGUAAAGCGUGCGCAGGCGGUUUGGUAAGACAGAUGUGAAAUCCCCGGGCUUAACCUGGGAACUGCCUUCAAAACUGGCGACCUGGACUCAAGCAGAGGCAAGUGGAAUUGCGAGUGUAGAGGUGAAAUUCGUAGAUAUUCGCAGGAACACCAGUGGCGAAGGCGACUUGCUGGGCUUGUAGUGACGCUGAGACGCGAAAGCGUGGGGAGCAAACAGGAUUAGAUACCCCAGUAGUCCCUGAGCGGGCUGGCAAGGCGCAU